UGCAUCGGCCUCGGCAGCUCCUCCUCCCCUGCAGCCCAGCGCCCCGCUCCGGCAGCACUGUGCAGGGGCAGGGACCGGGUUGUGUGUUGCGCUGGGGAGUGCACCCACGUGUCUGGCUCCGCACAGAGCCCAACACCAUGUUCUGACCCGCGGGAGAUCUUGUCCAGGUUCCGGCUGCAGAUUUAAAGAGACAGUGCACAGACGCCACAUCCUCCCCACCUGCCCUGUGUUAAAAAGAACAUAAGCAUGGCCAGACUGGGUCAGACCAAUGUUCCAUCUAGCCCAGUAUCCUGUCUUCCAACAGUGGUCAAUGCCAGGCAUUUCAGAGGGAAUGAACAGAACAGGGCAAUUAUCAAGUGAUCCAUCUCCUGUCACCCAUUCCCAGCUUCUGGCAAACAGAGGCUAGGGACACUUCAGAGCACCCAGUUUGGCCCAUCCUUUCUCCUUGGGAUGGGUUUUGCCAAGAUGAUUCAUUUGAGAGCCAGGGAUGAUAGUGAAGUUGUCAGCGGUGAUAGACAAAGGGGAAUGCAGAUGUGGAUCCAUGUCCAUAUCAUGAUCAGUGGAACUGGAGUCAGAGCGCCCAUGUUCCCUGGAGGGACUGAUAUUGACGGGACACCAGGAGAACAGGCAGUGUGGGGAGCCGGGCUGGAAGCAACAAGGUCAGGACAGAGCAGUGCACAGAGUUUAAUAAAGUUCCACUUGUUCAGCUUAUCCGCCUCCAGCCUCACUCUUUGCAAAUGAAACGUGGUGGCAGCACAGGAGUGGUGAGUUCUCCGCAGUGCAGCAGCUGGUGGCGUGUGCCGUGGCACAUGGUAUGAUGACCCCUGAAGCCUUGGAUUUUGCAGACACAAACCUAGCCCAGCGAUGGAUCCUGCACUCACUCUGAAGCUCACCAUGGCCUCACAGGAGUCCUAGGAGCCCUGGGGACCUAUUGCUCCUCAAAACAGAAUGAGGGAGGACUGGUUUGUCACUAGAGACCCAUCCUAAGGGAAGGGGAUGGCCCCCUAUGCUACUGCCUUACGCACACUGGCUGCCACAUGCGAUUCUGGGGACUUGUCAGACUCCCUGAUUCAGGACAGGACAGUCUGCGGCACUUGGGAUCCCGCCUGCGGAAGCGGCUGCUCCAGGAAUGCGAUCUCAGACUAGACAGAUGCUUACCCAUGGGAUGUGCAGUGGAAGCUGCAAGAGAAAGUAUGACAGCCCUAGGAGGCACAACAGCCCCAGAAGUAUGUACAGUGAGACAAGAGCAAAGGCGAACAGGUGGCCAGGGCUUCAUACUCAUUGUGAGAUGCACUUACCGAGGGAGACGGCAUGAGCAGGUAGAGUCUCUGCACUGGACAGCAUUGCAAGGAACGUGGCAAGUUGAGCCAUUUUAGCAGCAUGUGCCAGAGCAGAGGAAGGAUCCAGAAAGAUUCAGCCAGACUUGUACAAAAGGGGGAGGGCACACUGGACAGCGGUGGUGACAUGAUGACUCUCUCCUGGAGUCCAAAAACAUUUCAGGCUCAGACUGAGAUGACAUACAUUGGACACCUGCUCACAGCAGAGGGACUGAAAGCAGGUCCCAACAAGAGCAAGGCAGUCAGACCUGCCAGCUCCAGAAGAUGUGAAAGAGGAACGGUGCCUAAUAGGAAUGAUAAAUGUUCUGUCUACACCGGGCUGCAGUAAUGGAACCCAUUCGUCAAUUCACAUGGCAGGAUGUUGAGUGGGACCGGGCAGAUCCCCAACAGCAGACAUUUAACACACUGAAACAAAUGAUAACGGUUGCCCCAUCCUGAAAUAUUACCAGGCAGGAGAGUGACACUCCAGCGUGUUGCAUCAGAGAAAGGAUUGGGUGCAGGAGCAGCUGGUCACUUACGCCAGCAGAGACCUGUCAGAGACUGAACAGGGAUCCACCCAAAUAGAAAAAAAAUACUUCUGGGUGUGGUGUUUGGAGUGGAAUGAUUCCAUCGGGACAGCUGGGGCCACCCAGCAAUAGGGCAAUCUGACCACAGACCCAUAGAGACAAUCAUGGCAAAGCCACCUCUUAGUGCUCCAAAGAGAUUGCAACCCAUGUUGAUGUGCCUUCAGUGCUACCAGCUAGAGACCAGUCACUGUCAAGGACUAUUACUGGUGUGAGCUAGCACACUGAGCAGGACAUAUAUACCCAGCAUCAGCAAGCUGGGGGAAGGGGCUCAAGGCACACUGCAGCAUGUUAAUGGAUUCAGUGUCCUAGUUUCAACAGCAAAGCAGAUGGAAAUCAAAGAGGUGAUGGAAAAGGACAUCUAGUCAAGAGAGCAAUACUAGCAGGGUGGCCAGGAGAGAAAAGCCAUAUAUUGGUAGAAGCAGAAACAUAAACAUGCAACUCUGCUGCUUGGUGGAAGGAUGGGACACCUGCCUGUCGUGUGAUAACCACCAGCAGAAAGAGACUGUUACCAUGUGAGCUGCCCACCCAACCAUGGGAAAAGAUUGGAGCAGGUGUAUUUACCUUCAAGGAAAAGCAGCACAGUGGACUAUUAUUCACCACUCAAUGCCUUGCCUGAUACCAGAAGCAAGUCAGUCAUUGGCGAACUGAACGCCUGUUUGCGAGAUGUAGCAUUCCGGAUGUGACGUUGCACCCCAUAAUGCUUUAUAGGAAUAUGCUUAUGAGUGUAAUUAUGACAUAAAUGGAAUAUGUUUUAUGCUAGAUAUGCCAUGUAGCAUAUCUUUGCAAAGGUUAUGAUCUCCUGAAUAUAUUCAUCCUAUUUGUAUGCAUGUAACAUCUUUAUAUCUGAAGUUAUGAGCGUUGGGUCUAUGCUUGUAAUUAAAAUGUUUGCUGUAGGAAGCACAUAAAACAGAUUUGGUCAACAUAGUGUGAAGGGGUUAUUCAAGUAAUUCAACUUAACUAACAAUGGACUUUGGGAGACACCAAUCCACAUCUGAGCUUUCUUGGGACCGUUCACAUUAACAUAUAAACAAUGGUGUCGGCCUGCAAAAAGCUGAAUAAUUCAUAGACAUGUGACUUGCCCAGGUGGCUAGAGACCCCAUCUUGUGGCUGUGAUGUGGCACAACAGAGAGAAUAUAAGAGGCCCUGGAAACCCCUCCAUUUUGUCUUCAGCUGGCUCAGAGGAUAGCCUCUCCAUCCCAAAGGGAUGCCUGAAAGAAACGGGAACAAAAGACAGUAAUUAUAGGAGUGUGAGUGAUUGCUGGACCCAGACUAGGAAGGAGUCUAGUCUGUGAAACAAGCUUAUUGGAACAUCUCUGAGGGUGAGAUUUACCUGCAUUUAGUUUCCUACUGUAUUAGGCUUAGACUUGCGUGGUUUUUUUUUUAUUUUGCUUGGUAAUUUACUUUGUUCUGUCUGUUAUUACUUGGAACCACUUAAAUCCUACUUUUUAUAUUUAAUAAAAUCACUUUUUGCUUA